rnacentral:rRNA from 1 species
UGGGGGAUAUUGCACAAUGGGCGAAAGCCUGAUGCAGCGACGCCGCGUGGGGGAUGAAGGCCUUCGGGUUGUAAACUUCUUUUGCUCUGAACAAGGCAUGCUAAUGGGUGUGUUGAGUGUAGGGGUUGAUUAGCGCCGGCUAACUACGUGCCAGCAGCCGCGGUAAUACGUAGGGCGCGAGCGUUGUCCGGAAUUAUUGGGCGUAAAGGGCUUGUAGGUGGCUGGUUGCGUCUGUCGUGAAAGCUCAUGGCUUAACUGUGGGUUUGCGGUGGGUACGGGCUGGCUUGAGUGCAGUAGGGGAGGCUGGAAUUCCUGGUGUAGCGGUGGAAUGCACAGAUAUCAGGAGGAAUACCGGUGGCGAAGGCGGGUCUCUGGGCUGUUACUGACACUGAGGAGCGAAAGCAUGGGGAGCGAACAGG